rnacentral:lncRNA from 1 species
CCUGUAGGCAGCUCCGCGCUGCGGAGUGGGUCUGGGGGGGUCCCGUUGGAGGCAGACACCCUUGGGUGGUGUCUCUGCUGAGGAGGCUUUAACCGGAACAGCAAACUGGAGCAUGUUUUGGAUUCAGUGUGGAGUCUGAGGUUGGGGUUGAAUCCCUUCCUGCAUCAGCAUGGUGUGCUCAGCCUCAGAGGUCCCACAGCUCCAGGAUGAGGGCUGAACUGAGCAGUGCACAUCAAACGAAGCUGAAGUCCUACAGAGGGAGGAGUGUAACGGUGUGGGCCACGGGUGUGUAGAGACUGCAACAGUGGGUUGUGAGAUUCUGUAGUACAGAAGGGCAUGGAGGCGUUAUUUCCCUUUUAUGACAGGUUACCACAAACCACCACUGGCGAAUACAAUUAAAUAUAAUAAAUAUAAUUUUUGAAAGUCAGGAUGACUCCGGUCCUUUGGUUCCUAGCUGGGCCAAGCUGUGCCUUCCAAGGAUUCUUCCAGGCUGGCAGGCAUCAUGCUCU